rnacentral:rRNA from 1 species
UGGGGAAUUUUGGACAAUGGGCGAAAGCCUGAUCCAGCAAUGCCGCGUGUGUGAAGAAGGCCUUCGGGUUGUAAAGCACUUUUGUCCGGAAAGAAAUCCUUGGCUCUAAUACAGUCGGGGGAUGACGGUACCGGAAGAAUAAGCACCGGCUAACUACGUGCCAGCAGCCGCGGUAAUACGUAGGGUGCAAGCGUUAAUCGGAAUUACUGGGCGUAAAGCGUGCGCAGGCGGUUUGCUAAGACCGAUGUGAAAUCCCCGGGCUCAACCUGGGAACUGCAUUGGUGACUGGCAGGCUAGAGUAUGGCAGAGGGGGGUAGAAUUCCACGCGUAGCAGUGAAAUGCGUAGAGAUGUGGAGGAAUACCGAUGGCGAAGGCAGCCCCCUGGGCAAUACUGACGCUCAUGCACGAAAGCGUGGGGAGCAAACAGGAUUAGAUACCCUGGUAGUCCACGCCCUAAACGAUGUCAACUAGUUGUUGGGGAUUCAUUUCCUUAGUAACGUAGCUAACGCGUGAAGUUGACCGCCUGGGGAGUACGGUCGCAAGAUUAAAACUUAAAUGAAUUGACGGGGUCAUAGCUGUUUCCU